AAUAUUGCACAAUGGGCGCAAGCUUGAUGCAGCGACGCCGCGUGGGGGAUGACGGCCGUCGGGUUGUAAGCCUCUUUCAGUAUCGGCGAAGCUUGCGGGUUUUCUCGCAGGUGACGGUAGGCACAGAAGAAGAACCGGCCAACUACCUGCCAGCAGCCGCGGUAAUACGUAGGGUGCGAGCGUUGUCCGGAAUUACUGGGCGUAAAGAGCCCGUAGGUGGUUUGUCGCGCUGUUCGUGAAAACUCACAGCUUAACUGUGGGCGUGCGGGCGAUACGGGCAGACUGGAGUACUGUAGGGGAGACUGGAAUUCCUGGUGUAGCGGUGGAAUGCGCAGAUAUCAGGAGGAACACCGGUGGCGAAGGCGGGUCUCUGGGCAGUAACUGACGCUGAGGAGCGAAAGCGUGGGGAGCGAACAGG
rnacentral:rRNA from 1 species